UACGGGGGGAGCAAGCGUUGUUCGGGUUUACUGGGCGUAAAGGGCGCGUCGGCGGUCCGCACAAGUCAGUUGUGAAAUCUCCGGGCUUAACUCGGAAAGGUCAACUGAUACUGUGCGACUAGAGUGCAGAAGGGGCAACUGGAAUUCUCGGUGUAGCGGUGAAAUGCGUAGAUAUCGAGAGGAACACCUGCGGCGAAGGCGGGUUGCUGGGCUGACACUGACGCUGAUGCGCGAAAGCCAGGGGAGCGAACGGG
rnacentral:rRNA from 1 species